rnacentral:lncRNA from 1 species
GCUAGUGGAGGCUGUUGUAUGAUGUAUAUUUCAGCAGAUGAACAGAAGCAGUAAGGCUGCCACCUUAUACAUGCAUAUGCUGAGCAUAAGCAAUAGUUGAAUACAAAUGAAUCUUCUGUGAAUAUGAAAAGGAAAAGAAGGCUGUCUUCAAGAGAUGAAGUGUUUUCAGAAAAGAGAAGAUGAGCUACAGAGACAGCAGAAGGAAACACUUUCUCUGCAACAGAAAACAGAUGAUCUUCUUACUGAGGUACUGCACUAUACAUUGUGUGUUCUGCAAAAUUCUUACCUUUUGUAGC